rnacentral:rRNA from 1 species
CAGUCGCCGCGGUAAUACGAAGGUCCCAAGCGUUGUUCGGAAUCACUGGGCGUAAAGGGAGCGUAGGCGGCGUGGUAAGUCAGAUGUGAAAUCCCGGGGCUCAACCCCGGAACUGCAUUUGAUACUGCCAUGCUUGAGGGUUGGAGAGGUAGCUGGAAUUCUUGGUGUAGCAGUGAAAUGCGUGGAGAUCAAGAGGAACACUCGUGGCGAAAGCGAGCUACUGGACAAUAACUGACGCUGAGGCUCGAAGGCCAGGGUAGCGAAAGGGAUUAGAUACCCCAGUAGUCCCUGUCUCUUAUAC